rnacentral:rRNA from 1 species
CCUAUGGGGGGCUGCAGUGGGGAAUAUUGGACAAUGGGGGGAACCCUGAUCCAGCCAUGCCGCGUGUGUGAAGAAGGCCCUCGGGUUGUAAAGCACUUUCAGUGAGGAAGAACGCCUGGUGGUUAAUACCCAUCAGGAAAGACAUCACUCACAGAAGAAGCACCGGCUAACUCCGUGCCAGCAGCCGCGGUAAUACGGAGGGUGCGAGCGUUAAUCGGAAUUACUGGGCGUAAAGCGCGCGUAGGUGGCUUGAUAAGCCGGUUGUGAAAGCCCCGGGCUCAACCUGGGAACGGCAUCCGGAACUGUCAAGCUAGAGUGCAGGAGAGGAAGGUAGAAUUCCCGGUGUAGCGGUGAAAUGCGUAGAGAUCGGGAGGAAUACCAGUGGCGAAGGCGGCCUUCUGGACUGACACUGACACUGAGGUGCGAAAGCGUGGGUAGCAAACAGGAUUAGAUACCCCUGUAGUC